UACGGAGGGUGCAAGCGUUAUCCGGAUUCACUGGGUUUAAAGCGUGCGUAGACGGUUUCGUAAGUCGGGUGUGAAAGCCCCGGGCUCAACCUGGGAAUUGCAUUCGAGACUGCGUAGCUAGGGUGCGGAAGAGGGAAGCGGAAUUUCCGGUGUAGCGGUGGAAUGCGUAGAUAUCGGAAGGAACAUCAGUGGCGAAAGCGGCUUCCUGGUCCAGCACCGACGUUCAGGCACGAAAGCGUGGGGAGCAAACAGG
rnacentral:rRNA from 1 species